rnacentral:rRNA from 1 species
AGGUCAGAGGCGGACGGGUGAGUAACUAGUGGGUAACCUGCCUGUAAGACUGGGAUAACUCCGGGAAACCGGGGCUAAUACCGGAUGCUUGAUUGAACCGCAUGGUUCAAUCAUAAAAGGUGGCUUUUAGCUACCACUUGCAGAUGGACCCGCGGCGCAUUAGCUAGUUGGUGAGGUAACGGCUCACCAAGGCGACGAUGCGUAGCCGACCUGAGAGGGUGAUCGGCCACACUGGGACUGAGACACGGCCCAGACUCCUACGGGAGGCAGCAGUAGGGAAUCUUCCGCAAUGGACGAAAGUCUGACGGAGCAACGCCGCGUGAGUGAUGAAGGUUUUCGGAUCGUAAAACUCUGUUGUUAGGGAAGAACAAGUACCGUUCGAAUAGGGCGGCACCUUGACGGUACCUAACCAGAAAGCCACGGCUAACUACGUGCCAGCAGCCGCGGUAAUACGUAGGUGGCAAGCGUUGUCCGGAAUUAUUGGGCGUAAAGCGCGCGCAGGCGGUUUCUUAAGUCUGAUGUGAAAGCCCCCGGCUCAACCGGGGAGGGUCAUUGGAAACUGGGGAACUUGAGUGCAGAAGAGGAGAGUGGAAUUCCACGUGUAGCGGUGAAAUGCGUAGAGAUGUGGAGGAACACCAGUGGCGAAGGCGACUCUCUGGUCUGUAACUGACGCUGAGGCGCGAAAGCGUGGGGAGCGAACAGGAUUAGAUACCCUGGUAGUCCACGCCGUAAACGAUGAGUGCUAAGUGUUAGAGGGUUUCCGCCCUUUAGUGCUGCAGCAAACGCAUUAAGCACUCCGCCUGGGGAGUACGGUCGCAAGACUGAAACUCAAAGGAAUUGACGGGGGCCCGCACAAGCGGUGGAGCAUGUGGUUUAAUUCGAAGCAACGCGAAGAACCUUACCAGGUCUUGACAUCCUCUGACAACCCUAGAGAUAGGGCUUCCCCUUCGGGGGCAGAGUGACAGGUGGUGCAUGGUUGUCGUCAGCUCGUGUCGUGAGAUGUUGGGUUAAGUCCCGCAACGAGCGCAACCCUUGAUCUUAGUUGCCAGCAUUCAGUUGGGCACUCUAAGGUGACUGCCGGUGACAAACCGGAGGAAAGGUGGGGAUGACGUCAAAUCAUCAUGCCCCUUAUGACCUGGGCUACCCACGUGCUACAAUGGGCAAGAACAAAGGGCAGCGAAACCGCGAGGCUAAGCCAAUCCCAAAAUCUGUUUCCAGUUCGGAUCCAAUCUGGAACUCCACUGCGUGGAACUGG